rnacentral:rRNA from 1 species
AGAGUUUGAUCCUGGCUCAGGAUAAACGCUGGCGGCGUGCAUGAGACAUGCAAGUCGAACGAACGAGCUUGCUCGUUAGUGGCGGACGGCUGAGUAACGCGUAGGUGACCUGCCCUGAAGUGGGGGAUAACUGCCCGAAAGGGUGGCUAAUACCGCAUGUGGCGACACGUUCAGUCGUGUCAUCAAAGCCGCGAGGCGCUUCGGGAGGGGCCUGCGUCCGAUUAGCUCGUUGGUGGGGUAACGGCUCACCAAGGCGACGAUCGGUAGGUGGUCUGAGAGGACGACCACCCAGACUGGGACUGAGACACGGCCCAGACUCCUACGGGAGGCAGCAGUCGGGAAUUUUGCUCAAUGGGCGAAAGCCUGAAGCAGCAACGCCGCGUGAGGGAUGAAUGCCUUCGGGUUGUAAACCUCUUUUACCAGGGACGAUGAUGACGGUACCUGAUGAAUAAGUCACGGCUAACUACGUGCCAGCAGCCGCGGUAAUACGUAGGUGACCAGCGUUGUCCGGAUUUACUGGGCGUAAAAGAGCGCGCAGGCGGUCGUUCAAGUCGAGUGUGAAAGCCCCCGGCUCAACUGGGGAGGGUCAUUCGAUACUGAUCGACUGGAAGGCAGGAGAGGGAAGCGGAAUUCCCGGUGUAGUGGUGAAAUGCGUAGAUAUCGGGAGGAACACCAGUGGCGAAGGCGGCUUCCUGCCCUGUUCUUGACGCUGAGGCGCGAAAGCUAGGGGAGCAAACGGGAUUAGAUACCCCGGUAGUCCUAGCCGUAAACGAUGGACACUAGGUGUUGUGGUAUCAACCCCACCAGUGCCGAAGCUAACGCAUUAAGUGUCCCGCCUGGGGAGUACGGCCGCAGGCUAAAACUCAAG